AGGGUUUGAUUAUGGCUCAGGACGAACGCUGGCGGUGCGCCUUAUGCAUGCAAGUCGAGCGAAGCUUUUCAGUAGUUUACUACAGAAAAUGACUGAGCGGCGAACGGGUGAGUAACGCGUGAGCAAUCUACCUUAGUUACUGGGAUAGCCCGAGGAAACUUGGAUUAAUACCGGAUAAUCUUAUUACAUCACAUGAUAUUUUAAGUAAAGGUCAGCCGAACUAAGAUGAGCUCGCGUUCUAUCAGCUUGUUGGUGGGGUAAAAGCCUACCAAGGCUACGACGGAUAGCUGGUCUGAGAGGACGAUCAGCCACACUGGGACUGAGACACGGCCCAGACUCCUACGGGAGGCUGCAGCAGGGAAUAUUGUGCAAUGAGCGAAAGCUUGACACAGCGACACCGCGUGUGGGAUGACGGUUCUAGGAUUGUAAACCACUUUCAGGAGGGAAGAAAAUGACGGUACCUCCACAAGAAGCCCCGGCCAACUACGUGCCAGCCGCCGCGGUAAUAC
rnacentral:rRNA from 1 species